rnacentral:rRNA from 1 species
GACGAACGCUGGCGGCGUGCUUAACACAUGCAAGUCGAACGAAGUGGCGAACGGGUGAGUAACGCGUAAUCAACCUGCCCUUCAGAGGGGGACAACAGUUGGAAACGAAUCCUAAUCCCGAAUACUGAAGGCGUGGAUUGCGUCGGAUUAGCUAGUUGGGGGGGUAAAGGCCCACCAAGGCGAGGAUCAGUAGCCGGUCUGGGAGGAUGAACGGCCACAUGGGGACUGAGACACGGCCCAGACGCCUACGGGAGGGAGCAGUGGGGAAUCUUCCGCAAUGGACGAAAGUCUGACGGAGCAACGCCGCGUGAGUGAUGACGGCCUUCGGGUUGGAAAGCUCUGUUAAUCGGGACGCGGUACCGGAAUAGAAAGCCACGGCUAACUACGUGCCAGCAGCCGCGGUAAUUC